AGCAGCCGCGGUAAUUCCAGCUCCAAUAGCGUAUAUUAAAGUUGUUGCAGUUAAAAAGCUCGUAGUUGAAUUUUAGGCCUGGCCGGGCGGUCCGUCUUUGGCGAGUACUGUCCUGUGUCGGGUCCACCUUCUGGUGAACCAGUAUGUCCUUUAUUGGGUGUGCCGGGGAGCCAGGACCAUUACCUUGAAAAAUUAGAGUGUUUAAAGCAGGCAUUUGCUUGAAUAGAUUAGCAUGGAAUAAUAGAAUAGGACGUUGUGGUUCUAUUUUGUUGGUUUCUAGGACCACCGUAAUGAUUAAUAGGGAUAGUUGGGGGCAUUAGUAUUCAAUUGUCAGAGGUGAAAUUCUUGGAUUUAUUGAAGACUAACUAUUGCGAAAGCAUUUGCCAAGGAUGUUUUCAUUAAUUCAAGAACGAAAGUUAGGGGAUCGAAGACGAUCAGAUACCGUCGUAG
rnacentral:rRNA from 1 species